GGAAGGGUCGCAUAGUUGGUCUAGUGCGCAGUCCUGGAAAGACUGUAGGGCUAAAAACCCUCGCGGGUUCGAAUCCCGCCCCUUCCG
rfam:Candidatus Roizmanbacteria bacterium RIFCSPLOWO2_01_FTLL_42_14 rifcsplowo2_01_scaffold_3172, whole genome shotgun sequence.